rnacentral:rRNA from 1 species
CAGCAGCCGCGGGAAUACGAAGGGUGCAAGCGUUACUCGGAAUUACUGGGCGUAAAGCGUGCGUAGGUGGUGGUUUAAGUCCGUUGUGAAAGCCCUGGGCUCAACCUGGGAAUUGCAGUGGAUACUGGGUCACUAGAGUGUGGUAGAGGAUAGUGGAAUUUCCGGUGUAGCAGUGAAAUGCGUAGAGAUCGGAAGGAACAUCUGUGGCGAAGGCGACUAUCUGGGCCAACACUGACACUGAGGCACGAAAGCGUGGGGAGCAAACAGGAUUAGAUACCCCAGUAGUCCUGUCUCUUAUACA